rnacentral:piRNA from 1 species
UCCUCACCAAUUGUCAUAGACAGACAU